rnacentral:rRNA from 1 species
CGGACGGGUGAGUAAUGUCUGGGAAACUGCCUGAUGGAGGGGGAUAACUACUGGAAACGGUAGCUAAUACCGCAUAACGUCGCAAGACCAAAGAGGGGGACCUUAGGGCCUCUUGCCAUCGGAUGUGCCCAGAUGGGAUUAGCUAGUAGGUGGGGUAAUGGCUCACCUAGGCGACGAUCCCUAGCUGGUCUGAGGGGAUGACCAGCCACACUGGAACUGAGACACGGUCCAG